GGGUUCAACCUGGGGAAGCGGGCAUCCCAAAAGCGGUGUGGCCUUAAAGUGCCGGAAGAGGGGUAGUUGAAAUUUCCCAGUGUUGCCGGUGAAACUGCGUAGACAUCUGGUAAGGAACCUCCACUGGCGAAGGUGGCCUUUCCUGGUUUGACACUGACACUGUGGGUGCGAAAGCGUGAGGGGGCAAAUCGGGGUUAGUAUCCCCUCGGUUAGUGCCCGUCCCUAAACAAAAGUCAACUAGUCGUAGGGAUCCUUGAGAUUUUAGUGGCGCAGCUAACGCAUUUAAGUUGACCCCCUGGGGAGUACGGCCGCAAGGUUGAAACUCAAAUUAAUUGACGGGGGCCCGCACAAGCGGUGGAGCAUGUGGUUUAAUUCGAAGCAACGCGAAGAACCUUACCUGGCCUUGACAUGCUGAGAACUUCCCAGAGAUAGAUUGGUGCCUUCGGGAGCUCAGAGACAGGUGCUGCAUGGCUGUGGUCAGCUCGUGUCGUGAGAUGUUGGGUUAAGUCCCGUACCGAGCGCAAUCCUUGUCCUUAGUUACCAGCUCGUUAUGGUGGGCACUCUAAGGAGACUGCCGGUGACAAACCGGAGGAAGGUGGGGAUGACGUCAAGUCAUCAUGGCCCUUACGGCCAGGGCUACACACGUGCUACAAUGGUCGGUACAAAGGGUUGCCAAGCCGCGAGGUGGAGCUAAUCCCAUAAAACCGUUCGUAGUUCGGAUCGCAGUCUGCAACUCGCCUGCGUGAAGUCGGAAUCGCUAGUAAUCGUGAAUCAGAACGUCACGGUGAAUACGUUCCCGGGCCUUGUACACACCGCCCGUCACACCAUGAGAGUGGGUACUCCAGAAGUAGCUAGUGCUAACCUUCGUGGAGGUACCGCACCUUAGAGGGAGGCUGAGGG
rnacentral:rRNA from 1 species